rnacentral:tRNA from 3 species
AUUAAUUUGGCAGAUUAGUGCGUAAGAUUUAGAAUCUUUUUAUGUAAUAAUUAUUACAGUUAAUAC